CUACGGGCGGCACCAGUGGGGAAUCUUAGACAAUGGGCGCAAGCCUGAUCUAGCCAUGCCGCGUGAGCGAUGAAGGCCUUAGGGUUGUAAAGCUCUUUCAGCUGGGAAGAUAAUGACUGUACCAGCAGAAGAAGCCCCGGCUAACUCCGUGCCAGCAGCCGCGGUAAUACGGAGGGGGCUAGCGUUGUUCGGAAUUACUGGGCGUAAAGCGCACGUAGGCGGACUGGAAAGUCAGGGGUGAAAUCCCGGGGCUCAACCCCGGAACUGCCUUUGAAACUCCCAGUCUUGAGGUCGAGAGAGGUGAGUGGAAUUCCGAGUGUAGAGGUGAAAUUCGUAGAUAUUCGGAGGAACACCAGUGGCGAAGGCGGCUCACUGGCUCGAUACUGACGCUGAGGUGCGAAAGCGUGGGGAGCAAACAGGAUUAGAUACCCCUGUAGUC
rnacentral:rRNA from 1 species